UACGCCAGAGUACAGUGGAUCGCUAUCCCGCGUUCGAUUUACUCUACCAAACAAAAAGAAAAACGAAGGCAAGGGAGAGAGAGAUCGACCGACGCGGGGAUCAGAUCCAGCCGGCGCGAGCGAUGUGUGAAACAUGGAAAUCAAUGCGGGCGAUCCGUCUGUGAGGGAGAAUUGAGGGGAUCCAGCCGACGCUGGCGAGCAGUCAAGCGGAAAGGGGAUGCAAAGCAGCCGAGCAGCCAUGCGCGUCUCCCCGGCUGAUGCGGAAACGGGAUGCGAACCUGAUCCGCCGGCAUUUGAUGUGCUAUCAGAUACUAAUUGAUCGAAAUUUGUUCGGAGAACUAGGGAAGGUCGGUUCCGGUAUAUAUGCGUUUGGCAGUGAAGGUUUGAGAAUUGGAGAAUUGGGGAAGGUUUGUUCAAUGAAGGUUGGUCGCAAAGCCAUCAAUUCUCAUGGGCUUUUUCGAGUGCUUUGCAAGUACACAUGAUGGUUCAAAUGGGGACGACAUGCUAUUGAUUUUCACGCCCGCUAUGUGCUCUUCCUCACCCCCAGGCAAGAUCCAAAGGACCCUCGUAUUGGUUGAUUGCCCGGCCGGGAUGUGGUGCUGCAAAAUAAACGCCCAGUUCGUCCAAAGAGUAAGAUUGGUGCCUUCCUUAUCAUGUUUCUUUGUUGUGAUAAGACAUUAUACGCCAUAUCUCUAGAUUUUCUGAAACCUGUGCUAAAAGUUGUCUACUUGAGUGUGACCUUCAUUGCCUAGGCUAUCUUAUCUUAUAAUUUUGAUGUGCUUCUUCUUAUGUGAGAAAUACUGGACCAGUAGCGUAUUUAAGUCUGUAUUCCCCUACUCAACCCCAUUAGUUGCUUUCCUAAUUUAUUUCCAUGACUUUGCUUAUUGCUUCUUAAAAAUAGCUAGAAAUGCUUAAUUACGGGAUUGACAGUGUUCUGAGCUUCAGAUUCAUCAAGGCGUCAGAGCGAGCAACAACAUUCUCCUGUAUUUUUUGCAGUGAAUGUAUGAUUCUUUCCUGCCAUGUUGCCAAGUUUGAACCUAGCUAUUUGAUGCUGUCAUCCGAUGUGUUAUUGUAAGUUGUAUCAACUAGACGGAUUACAUCAAUUCAUAGUGUUUUA